CGUCGUUGUCCGAAUACUUUUAGUUUUUGCACUCUAACUUUAGUAAAAGUGAAUAGAAAUCUAUGAAAUUUUGACACAAGGUUUAUGACCACAAAAGGAAGGUUGGGAUUGAUUUUGGGAGUUUUGGUCCCAACAUUUUAGGAAUUAGGGGCCAAAAAGGGCCCAAAUAAGCAUUUUCUUGGUUUUCGCACUAUAACUUUAGUUUAAGUGAAUAGAAAUCUAUGAAAUUUUGACACAAGGUUUAUGACCACAAAAGAAGGUUGGGAUUGAUUUUGGGAGUUUUGGUUUCAACAGUUUAGGAAUUAGGGGCCAAAAAAGGGCCCAAAUAAGCAUUAUUCUUGGUUUUCGCACAAUAAUUUUAGUAUAAGUAAAUAGAAAUCAGUGAAAUUUAAACACAAGGUUUAUGACCACAAAAGGAAGGUUGGGAUUGAUUUUGGGAGUUGAGGUCCCAACAGUUUAGGAAUUAGGGGCCAAAAAGGGGCCCAAAUAAGCAUUAUUCUUUGUUUUCGCACCAUAACUUAAGUAUAAGUAAAUAGAAAUCUAUGAAAUUUAAACACAAGGUUUAUGACCAUAAAAGGAAGGUUGGGUUUGAUUUUGGGAGUUUUGGUCCCAACAGUUUAGGAAUAAGGGGCCCAAAAGGGUCCAAAAUUGAACUUUGUUUGAUUUCAUCAAAAAUUGAAUAAUUGGGGUUCUUUGAUAUGCUAAAUCUAACUGUGUAUGUAGAUUCUUAAUUUUUGGUCCCGUUUUCAAAUUGGUCUACAUUAAGGUCCAAAGGGUCCAAAAUUAAACUUAGUUUGAUUUUAACAAAAAUUGAAUCCUUGGGGUUCUUUAAUAUGUUGAAUCUAAAAAUGUACUUAGAUUUUUUAUUAUUGGCCCAGUUUUCAAGUUGGUCCAAAUCGGGGUCCAAAAUUAAACUUUGUUUGAUUUCAUCAAAAAUUGAAUAAUUGGGGUUCUUUGAUAUGCCAAAUCUAAACUGUGUAUGUAGAUUCUUAAUUUUUGGUCCCGUUUUCAAAUUGGUCUACAUUAAAGUCCAAAGGGUCCAAAAUUAAACUAAAUUUGAUUUUAACAAAAAUUGAAUUCUUG
rnacentral:lncRNA from 1 species